AUCCCCGUGAAUACGCCCUCUAUCCCCCGCCCGGGGAUUAGGAGCGGGCAUCAGGCACAUAAAAUUUAGCCCAAGACGCCAAGCCAAGCCACACCCCCAAGGGAAUUCAGCAGUGAUAAACAUUAAGCCAUGAGUGAAAACUCGACUCAGUCAGGGUUAACAGGGCCGGUAAAACUCGUGCCAGCCACCGCGGUUAAACGAGAGGCCCCAGUUGAUAAUAUCACGGCGUAAAGGGUGGUUAAGGAUUGAAAUUUAAUAAAGCCAAAUAGCCCUUCGGCCGUCAUACGCUUCUAGGUGUUAGAAACCCGAUCUGCACGAAAGUAGCUUUAGCUAUAUCCACCUGACCCCACGAAAGCUGAGAAACAAACUGGGAUUAGAUACCCCACUAUGCUCAGCCAUAAACCCAGACAUUUAAGUACAAUCACAUGUCCGCCAGGGUACUACGAGCAUUAGCUUAAAACCCAAAGGACCUGACGGUGCCUCAGACCCCCCUAGAGGAGCCUGUUCUAGAACCGAUAACCCCCGUUAAACCUCACCACUUCUGGUCAUUCCA
rnacentral:rRNA from 1 species